UGUCUCUCAAAUUCUCUGCAUCUGGAUUAUCUGUUCGUUCGUGAAGCUCAGAAAUCAAUGGCUUCUUCGUCCUUGAGACCUUCGUUGACGACAACGACAGCGGCCACGGCGAACAAUGGUGGAGCUGGAAGUUCCGAGAGGCAACAACUCCAUCCUGCUCGGUAAACCACGUCGUCUGUUUGAUCCCAGCUGGCGUCUUCCUCGACUUCAUGGUUGAAAGAGGAGGCGGCGCCGAUGUUGAGCGUGGAGGCUUCUGCCACAGGUUUGGAGGUGACCGUGGUCGCGGCGGUAGGCACCGCGGUGCUGGGCCUGAGAGAAUCAUGAAGAUCAUGCCGGUUCAGAAGCAAACCGUUUUGGUUAGAGGACUCGCUUCUUCUGUUCCUCUAUCUCGGCCAUGUUCCCCAACCCCGGUUGGCCGUCCCACAAGGUCUUCAACAAGAUGUCGUGGACCGACUUCGAUUACUGCAAAUCCCGCCAGGUCACUACUCUCCCUCAUCACCAAUCAAUCAAUCUAUCCAAUUCAGUUUGCUUCUAAUUCUGAAUACUAGCACUUCUUUUUCACUUCUUGGUUGCAUUCUGAAGAUGCAUGUUGUUUAUUUGAUUAUUAUGUCUCUUUGUAAAGUUUGGCUUUUUCUAUAGAGAUAAUCAUAAAUUACUGCCCAGCUUUAAUUCUGAGGCACUUCAUGACUUUAUCAUCUAAAGCUUAUGAAGCUAUACCAUAUGCUUUGUAUAGAAGAUUGAGGCUAGGCUUUCUGGCUUUCUAUUUUUGGUGAAGCUUGUGACCCAAAAUAGGCCUUGCUUUAUAUGGCAACGACAGCAUGGAUUUCUGACAUUGCAUAAUGAUAUUAGUUUAGUGCUUUUAGAUUUGGUCUAUUUUUCCCAAAUGCUUUUAGUAGGUACUAUCUAUAGCUGCUAGCACUCGAUGAAGUUGUAGAGAUGAAGUAAUUAUUCAAACUGGGAGUAUAUAACUUGUAUUCAAAUAUCUCAUAGCUACAGAUUUUGGCAUUUGAUAAUUCCAGGAAUUGUAAUUUCUGUUUUGUAGUUGUGUUAGUAAAUUUCUAUUGGUUCUUUGAUGAUAACUUGAAUAUAUAUCUGAGUGAGGCGGCUAUCAAGGAGGAAAGACAUGAGGCACGGCGCGCUAAAAAGGAAUUGAAGGGACUUUACAGGGGUGAAGCGCAGCAUGCUUAAAGAGUAGAUUCUUAAUGAGCAAUGGGUGCCAAAAGGAUGUCACAGUGGCGCUUAUAAGCUUUCACAAUUGUAGCCUUGAUGCCAAAAUCCAGACCAACCUGGAUCAAAUAAAGGCAUCACCAGCUUGAUUACUGCAGGAUGUGCAGCCAUCUGUAUCUCAAGCCUCAGUUUCUAGUUCACCAGUAGGGGCUCCUUCAACUCCAACUACCAUUCCACUUGCUUCAAGUGCGGGCACACCGUCAUUCUCUUACAGUGUGCCUCCAAACACAAAUAUCACUUUUGGAACCUCUCAGCAGCCAUCACCUAGUUUUAUGUUGGAACCUCCCACUUUUGACACUGUUAUCUAAAUGGAGUACUAUAAUUUCAUAAACAGUAAAGAUGAAGUCUGAAAGGUCUCUUAGUUUUAUGUUGGAUGUGUAGCUAUAUGUGGAUUAAAUAUGUAUGUAUCUGAGGAAGUGUUGAUUCUCAAAGAAUUUCAUGAUAUGAAUCUAAAAGUUGCUCAUAAAAGUGUAACUUUCAUAUGAAUGUGACUUCAGAUUAUUGUAUCUAAUUUGGAUAGUACUGGCACUUGUAAGCUCAAUUGAAUAAAAGUCGGUAUAUGAGUGA